GUCCAGCCUGCAAACAGGAAGGCCAUUGAAGAUCGAUUGUCCCUUUCUCCAGAGAGGGAAAGGGGCACCUCCUCCUCUUCCUCCUCCACAGGGGCCUGCCCUGCAGGCUCACCAAGAGCCUACUUUGCCAGAACUCCCAGGAUUGGCCACUGGAGAGGCCAUUGGACAGUGCCUGGGGACGCCGGCCCUACACAGAUCACCCACUGUGAGCCCAGGCUAACAGUCUACAUCUCAGCAGCCCAACUCCAGCAUGGGCGGGACACCCACUGCAAGGGACCUCAGUCCUCCGAUGACCCCAUCACUCCAGGCGAUGAUAAGGCGGACACUGAAGCUGCCCAACGAACACCCCGGGCCACACGGCUCCUAGCUGUCCCACCCACAUCCCUCCAGUAUGACCGCCGGAAAAACAAAAGUGGCUCCAGCAGGGUGCACCUCCAUCGGAGACCGGCUUCUCUUCACAGACGGACGUGUUCUCCCAGACUCGCGGGCUACCCCGUUCUGACCUCCACAGUGCCCUCCACAGCGGCCAUGUCCCUCUCCGUCUCUCAUUGGCCCCUCCUUCUAUCAUCCCUCUCUGGCUUCCCUUGUCCACCAGAUAACCCGCAGGUGCCCCGCCUGCGCUGUCACUUCCCCUCAGAGAGCCCCCCACCCAGAUGCCUUCCCCACACCAAGCGCGUGGCCACUGCCCAGGGGGAGAUGGGCAGAUUGAUUUUACACACACGCCCACACACACACACACACACACACACACACGCAGAAAGACGCGUCACCCCUCACCCUGGCAGAUGCCUCCUCAGGGUGGACCGAGGCCUUCCCCACCGCCUCGGAGGGUGCUGCCUCAUCUGCUUACAUUCCCCUCACCGAAGUCAUCCCCCGCUUUGGGCUGCCCCGCUCCACAGUCUGACCGGGGACUGGCCUUUGUCUCUUGUGUCACCCAACUCGUGGCCCAAUCUCUCAACAUAAAUUGGAAACUACACAUCCCAUACCGACCUCGAUCUUCUGGAAAGGUAGAAAAAGCAAAUGGACUAGUUGAAGCACACCUGCCUAAACUCGCCUUAGAGCUCAAGGCCCCAUGGACUGAGCUCCCCCUUGCCCUUACAGGAUUAAGGGCAGCACCCUGCAAGCCUCUCAACUUCAGCCCAUUUGAGCUUACCUGUGGGAGACCUCGUCUCCUAGGAAACCUUCCAGAAUCUCUUCCCCCAUUGGCUGAUUAUAUCCCCACCCUUAAGUCUCUCCAUUACUUUCUCAGAACUCAUGCUGAUCAGUUUCUACCUAGCCAAUAUCCCCCCAACCACUGCCAUCUACACGUUGCUCCCAGAG
rnacentral:lncRNA from 1 species